rnacentral:rRNA from 1 species
ACGGGGGGAGCAAGCGUUGUUCGGAUUUACUGGGCGUAAAGGGCGCGUAGGCGGCCACCGCAAGUCGACUGUGAAAUCUCCGGGCUUAACCCGGAAAGGUCAGCCGAUACUGCGGGGCUAGAGUGCAGAAGGGGCAACUGGAAUUCCUGGUGUAGCGGUGAAAUGCGCAGAUAUCAGGAGGAACACCGGUGGCGAAGGCGGUGGUCUGGGCCGGAACUGACGCUGAAUAGCGAAAGCGUGGGUAGCGAACAGGA